GUUCAAUGAUUCUGAAACUAUUGGCGCUGACGGAUUUCAGGUUUGAUGCACGGAUUUUGAGAAAACUGAAAAUACAUGUAUUUUAUGUAUUUGUGCGUGGUUUUGCAUUUCGGAGAGAGAAUACGUUUCGUCGCGAAUCCACAACCAAACCGGGUAAAAUAAAAUUGUGGAUUGGUUAUCUAUGUCGUGCUGAUCACACUAGUGCGAUCUGUUCGCAAAACUGACGGACGGAUCUCCUGAUAUCGCGUGUUGAUCGAGG
rnacentral:lncRNA from 1 species